rnacentral:lncRNA from 1 species
CAGCUUUGAACUGAACUCCUUGGUGGGAGACGGUGCUUGUCCCACAGCAGAGCCAUGCUCUGUCUGUGUGAGGUGGUGAGGAAGCCCCAUUCCCACUGCCAGGCUCCCUGUUGGCCUCACAAACCUAAUCAGAUGAGACCCAGAGCAACCAGUUUGCUGACAGUGUGCCCCCAGCGAUUGCCUACGUCUCACAGAGCAUAUGAAGGGCUUGCUGUGUGGAAAGCCCCAUCCUCAGUAUUCAGGACAGUGAUCUGCCCAGCUGAGUCAUGCCUCCUACUGAAGCAUAGUGGUGAAUAAAUGUAGUGUGCACAUAGGCAGCGUAUCACUUGUGUUGCUUCCCCGAGAGGCAUGGCACAUCCAACAAGUGCAAACCUACCUGGACAGAGGACCUCAGAGGACCUUGGUUUAGCCUGGUGGUCCUCCCCAGGGAGACAAGUGGAAGGCAACAGCUGAUCUCAGAUGAGAGAACGUUUCACUCUAGGAGGAUGUGGCCAAGAAAGAGAAGUGGCUCAUCCUGGCUACAUCAGCCCAGCUCAUAGGGUCACCCAGCUGUACAGCCUCAGCAUCUGUGGAGUGGGUGGUUAACAGCAGAUUGAUUUGGUCUUGGCUG